ACAGAGGUGGGAAAUAGGAGAAAAAGAGUAAAGGCAGCAGAGGGCUUAGUAAAGAAAGAAAACAGAAGGGAAGGAAAUAAAAUAAUUCAAGGGGCUUUCCCAGAACUGAAGGACACACAUUUACAAAUUGAGAGAGUGAAAGAAUGUUUGCUCAUGAAUGUUCAAGGUGGUAGAUGAAAGCAGACUCAAACCAAGACUCAAACUUCCUCAUCAAUACCUGCAGAAAACUUAGAGGCAACAUGUCCCACAAGCUUCCAAAGAGAGAUUACUCAUUAAAGGAUUAGGAAUCAAAUCAUUUUGGACGUGAGCUCUGGCAGGCAGAAGACAGAUGAGCAGUGCCUCCCACUUUAUGAAACAACACAGUUCCCAAAUAUGGACUCUAUAACCAGCUAUCAAUUAACGUGAGCUAUUAUAAAACCAUUUUCAGAUGGACAAGGUCUGGAAGACGUCCUCCACCAAAUAAGCAAAUAUAUAAGCCAAGAAAGAAGCUACAGGACCAAAGAAAGAGAGGCCCCUGCACAAGACAGAGACCAGAGAACAACACUUCCAUGGCCGUAAUCAGAGUAACAGACAGUGUCUGAAGAGGAAAAACAGAAAAAGAAAUCCAAGAAGUAGCAUUGUGGGCUUGCUGUCGGAAAGAGUGGAAGGUCGCUGCCUCCAGGUGAGAAUCAGGAGGGGAAAGGGCCACCCUGAGCACCCAACUAGUGUUUCUAUAUAAAACCCAGCCUGAGGAUCAAAAGCUGGACAACCAAGGCCUCACCGCGUCACCAGACCCGAUCCCCCAACCACAUGAAGCAUCUGGACACGUGUUAAGUGUCACCCGUUUUGUGGCAGAAACUUAACUAGUUAUACUGACAGGACAGGAGAACAUUUUAACAAGAAAGGAACCUAGGAGGGACUGGGUCUGGAGUCUCUUCCUGUGCGUCACAGCUCUGAACACAAAUGCAGAGAUCUGUAGGUCCUGAGAUGAAAGGAGGGGCAGAAUGGAUCGUGGUGGGAAACAAAGUACAAAAGACGAUGUAUACAAACACGCCAUGGACUGAGCCGCAGGGCAUGGGGAUUCCCACUGGGAUCUCUGCCACACACACGCAGGAACUAAAUUAGAAUAAAUGAAGACAGUGCAUUACUGCCCGGCCCUUCUCCACGGGGCACG